GUCCAGACUCCUACGGGAGGCAGCAGGGGGGAAUAUUGCACAAUGGGGGAAACCCUGAUGCAGCGACGCCGCGUGAGUGAAGAAGUAUUUCGGUAUGUAAAGCUCUAUCAGCAGGGAAGAAAAUGACGGUACCUGACUAAGAAGCCCCGGCUAACUACGUGCCAGCAGCCGCGGUAAUACGUAGGGGGCAAGCGUUAUCCGGAUUUACUGGGUGUAAAGGGAGCGUAGACGGUAGAGCAAGUCUGAAGUGAAAGCCCGCGGCUCAACUGCGGGACUGCAUUGGAAACUGGCGGACUAGAGUGUCGGAGAGGCAAGUGGAAUUCCUAGUGUAGCGGUGAAAUGCGUAGAUAUUAGGAGGAACACCAGUGGCGAAGGCGGCUUGCUGGACGAUGACUGACGUUGAGGCUCGAAAGCGUGGGGAGCAAACAGGAUUAGAUACCCCAGUAUA
rnacentral:rRNA from 1 species